GUCUACAGCCAUGGCACCCUGAACAAGCCUGACCCGUCUGAUCUUGAAAGCUUAGCAGGGUCGGGCUUGGUUAGUACUUGGAUGGGAGACCACCUAGGAAGACCAAGUGCUGUAGGUG
rnacentral:rRNA from 1 species